rnacentral:rRNA from 1 species
UACGGGGGGGGGCAAGCGUUGUUCGGAAUUACUGGGCGUAAAGGGCUCGUAGGCGGCCAACUAAGUCAUACGUGAAAUCCCUCGGCUUAACCGGGGAACUGCGUCUGAUACUGGAUGGCUUGAGUUCGGGAGAGGGAUGCGGAAUUCCAGGUGUAGUGGUGAAAUGCGUAGAUAUCGGGAGGAACACCAGUGGCGAAGGCGACUUCCUGGCCUGUUCUUGACGCUGAGGCGCGAAAGCUAGGGGAGCAAACGGG